rnacentral:lncRNA from 1 species
UCAACUUUAAAUGAGUUGUAAGAUGAAGCUGAUGGUUUAAAAAACACCUCCCUGUUUAGUUUACCAGAUGCUCCACUGAGGAACCUUGUCUUGGUGGAGGUUGGCCGGAAGACGGCGGCGGAGGCUUGCGACGUGACGGUGGCCAUUUGGGGGGUAUCAAGAUGUGGAAAUGGGAGUUUAGGUGAGCUAAAAGAAAUUGUAUCUUUUGUGUAUGAUUUUUCUA